UACGUAGGUGGCAAGCGUUGUCCGGAUUUACUGGGUGUAAAGGGCGUGUAGCCGGGCUGACAAGUCAGAUGUGAAAUUCCGGGGCUCAACCCCGGACCUGCAUUUGAAACUGUUGGUCUUGAGUAUCGGAGAGGCAGGCGGAAUUCCUAGUGUAGCGGUGAAAUGCGUAGAUAUUAGGAGGAACACCAGCGGCGAAGGCGGCUUACUGGACCGUGACUGACGUUGAGGCUCGAAAGCGUGGGGAUCAAACAGG
rnacentral:rRNA from 1 species